rnacentral:rRNA from 1 species
GAUGAACGCUGGCGGCGUGCUUAACACAUGCAAGUCGAACGGGAAACCUUUUAAUGAAGCUUCGGCAGAUUUAGCUGGUUUCUAGUGGCGGACGGGUGAGUAACGCGUGGGUAACCUGCCUUAUACAGGGGGAUAACAGUCAGAAAUGACUGCUAAUACCGCAUAAGCGCACAGGACCGCAUGGUCCGGUGUGAAAAACUCCGGUGGUAUAAGAUGGACCCGCGUUGGCUUAGCUUGUUGGUGGGGUAACGGCUCACCAAGGCGACGAUCCAUAGCCGGCAUGAGAGGGUGAACGGCCACAUUGGGACUGAGACACGGCCCAGACUCCUACGGGAGGCAGCAGUGGGGAAUAUUGCACAAUGGGGGAAACCCUGAUGCAGCGACGCCGCGUGAAGGAAGAAGUAUCUCGGUAUGUAAACUUCUAUCAGCAGGGAAGAUAGUGACGGUACCUGACUAAGAAGCCCCGGCUAACUACGUG